CCUGGGGACAGCUGAAGUGCUGCCUUCAUGACUUCAGAAUUUCUAUCCCAACUGAGCGGCAAAUGGAAUCAUGUUACUGGCCAUAAAGAGGUUACUUUCAUUGAGCAUCUUCUACAUGGCAGGCAGAAGUACGGAUGUGAAGUGGUGGAGAUGAAUUGAGUCAUGUGCUACACACACUUGAUCUUCUUGACUUCUCUCAACAGCUCUAAGAGAAAUCCCCAAAGUUCAACUGAUAGUGAUUAUGAAGGCCACUUCUAUCAAAACACACAGUUGAAUGAUAUGAGGAUGGCAACUUGUAUGUGUUUAUUUUCGUCAAACUCAAUCUGCAAUAUCCUUAUCAGCUCUCCCAACAUUCCUAGG